UUUUUUGAUUUUUCCAUGCACCCCGGUUAUAACAAUGGAAUUUUUGUGGCAAUUAAAUAUUGUUAUAAGUUAUAAGAAAUUGUUA
rnacentral:lncRNA from 1 species